rnacentral:rRNA from 1 species
GACGAACCGUGCGAACGUUAUUCGGAAUCACUGGGCUUAAAGCGCGUGUAGGCGGGACGGCACGUCGGUCGCUGAAAUCCCCCGGCUUAACCGGGGAACUGGCGUCGAUACGACCGCCCUGGAGGGGCGUAGGGGGACCUGGAACUUCCGGUGGAGCGGUGAAAUGCGUUGAGAUCGGAAGGAACAGCAGUUGCGAAGGCGGCUCUCUGGACCAGCGCUGACACUGAGGCACGAAAGCGUGGGGAGCAAACAGG